CCCAAAGUCCCUUGUUUCCAAGGUUUGACCAUUUUGGGGAGGUGGUGGAACUUUCAGGAGAUAACGGCCUGGAAGAAUCUAGGAUACCUCUGAGAAGGAAGACAGUUCCCUUGAUAAAGAAGCUAGCUGUGUUGGACAGAGAGGCAGAAAAUGAUGAUGUCUGCAGAAUGAAAAGGCUUUUCAGGAUCUGUAUGAAGACUGUAUGGGAGCUGUGUACUUCCCAGAGCUCUUAGUUGUGGUCUGAAGUACUGCUGUCAACCAUGAGGUACUUUAGCAGUUUUUCUGUGAACGCCGCCUUUUUCAUUAGAGUGCAGCAAUGGUUAACAACGUAAUAACCCCCAAGUUACAAGUUAUUCUCAACUUAAUAAAUGCAUUUAUAAAUUUGUGAAGAUUCUCCA